ACAGCCACUCUUUGCUUUCUCCCCAAAGCAGCGAAUAAAUAGGUCAAAAUGGUCUUUUAAUUUUAUUGUUCAAUAUCUACCCUUACACCUAAUUCUUAUAUUCUCAAUAUUAUGCAACUUGCAAUAAUUAUUUUGGAAUUGUCUAACAUGUACAAAUAAGCUGUUAGAGGAUUUAUAUAUUGCCAGUGGAUGAACGAUGAGGAAAAAUAGGAGUAAAAGUACUUGUAGAGAAUGAUGUCCAAAUUGGAAGAGACUCUGCAUGGUACAUAUUGAUGGGUGUUUUAAUUUCUUAUAUCAAUAAAGAAUUGGAGGUGUGCGGGUGGAGGACGAGGGAUGCAGAUAUAUAAUUAGAUAUUUCUUUUCAUAUGUAUUCCUUAACUUUCUUCCAUUUGAUUUUCUUAUUAAAUUAAAAAAAAAGUUGCAUCAUGUUGUUGUUAAAAUUGG
rnacentral:lncRNA from 1 species